GCCGAGAUCGCAUAACCCGGUAGUGCGCACGCCUGGAAAGCGUGUCCCUUGUGGAUUGGGAGUUCAAAUCUCUCUCUCGGCG
rnacentral:tRNA from 1 species